rnacentral:rRNA from 1 species
GUAGGUGGCAAGCGUUGUCCGGAAUUAUUGGGCGUAAAGCGCGCGCAGGCGGUCCUUUAAGUCUGAUGUGAAAGCCCACGGCUCAACCGUGGAGGGUCAUUGGAAACUGGGAGACUUGAGUACAGAAGAGGAAAGCGGAAUUCCAAGUGUAGCGGUGAAAUGCGUAGAGAUUUGGAGGAACACCAGUGGCGAAGGCGGCUUUCUGGUCUGUAACUGACGCUGAGGCGCGAAAGCGUGGGGAGCAAACAGGGAUUAGAUACCCUGGUAGUCCACGCCGUAAACGAUGAGUGCUAAGUGUUAGGGGGUUUCCCGCCCCUUAGUGCUGCAGCUAACGCAUUAAGCACUCCGCCUGGGGAGUACGGCCGCAAGGCUG